rnacentral:rRNA from 1 species
GACGAACGCUGGCGGCGUGCUUAACACAUGCAAGUCGAACGAAAAGGUCCUGCGCUUGUGCGGUUCUCGAGUGCCGAACACGGGAGUAACACGCGAGGAUCAUCCCCCUAUCAGUGUGAGAACUUCAGGGAACUGCGGAGAAUACCGGGUAGAAUCUCCUGAAGCGUGUGGGGCGAUAGAAAGUGUCGGCGGUUGGAGAUCGAAUCGCUGCUUAUGAGCUGGUUGGUGUGGUAGGUGCUUACCAAGCCUGUGACGGGUAGCCGGCAUGAGAGGCUGACCGGCCACAUUGGGCCUACGAUACGGCGCAGAAUGCUACGGGAGGCAGCAGUCGGGAAUAUUGCGCGAUGGGCCGACGCCUGAUGCAGCAAUGUCGCGUGCGGGAUGCCGUCUUUCGGGUUGUAAACAGAUUUCGACUGUGCCGAAGAGUGCUUGACGGUACUGGGUAAAGAAGCCACGGCUAACUACGUG